rnacentral:lncRNA from 1 species
GUGAUGUCAUUGAACUCUUAAGUGCAAGAUGAAACAAGUCUUUCUGGGGUUCUAAGUAGGACACAGCCCUGGUGAUGGCUUUCUGAGGAUGACACGAUGGAGGCUUCUCCAAUAGCUCUAAAACUGCGGUGUGGAAAACAUUCGGCAGCCUCAAAGAGCGGUCUUGUUGACCCCAACUAUAUCAUUUUUCAUCAAAAUCAUUCUUGUAAAGAAUGACCAGGCAACACUCUUUGAAAAUUGGAGGCCAUUUGCAGCUGCUCUCUGUUGAGGAAAGUGAAUAAUAGGGUGCCCUCAAGGAAUUGCAAAGCAAUUGCAGGUGGCCAAGAGAGCUUGUUUCAAGGCAGGAUUUGAAGGGGAAAAGAAAAGACCUUGUCCAAAGCUUUCUCCAAGGCAGGUCAUGCUGAGUGAAGGUUCCUUGUUGGAAAAGAAAGGAAUUCCCCACGGGGUCCUGUCGUCUCACUCCAGCUGACGGCUCUAUUGCAGGCAAAAUGCUUACAGUCAGGAUAGAGACAAAAUUGUGUAGUCUCCCAGUCACGCCACCGUGCUGUCUACAAGCCCUCCGGGUGUGACCGGUGAAGAUGCGUUCUCUGGGAAUCCUGAUCUCAGAUCUGAUGGAUAUUUUUGCUGUGGAAGAACCAGUUAUAGGAUUUCAAGUUCCAGAGAAAAGGCUCUCUCCUAGACAACAUCGCUCAUAAUGGACGGUUCAAGCCAAAUUAUCCAUUAUUGUUCCCAAAGUUUACAAUUAAACUAUCGAUCAAAACUGGCAGUGAUUUCUCCAGCAGCCUGAGCUUAGAAGCAGCUGAAUUACAUCAGAACACGAGUGUGUGGAGCCAGAAGGUGACACAGACAGACAGAUACCAGACAGACAGUGGCACCUUCUACCAACCACCCUGGGAUCCAGCCUUUGGUAAUUUUCCUUGAGCCGAGAAGCAGGCUGCCACCCCAGCUAUGUAGAGUGGGUUUGCGGUUUUAAUAGCCAGAGGUGCCCGCAAUUUGCGACCUCUAUCCCUGGCUGUAAAAAUUGGAGUUUAACAGGUUCGGCUCCAUGGGGAACCAACCUCAGCUUUUAGGCUCCUUCAGACACUGCAGAAUGCAUCUUUUCUGGGGAAUUCCACAAUAAAAUGACUGUUAUUUAUCAUUACAAA